GUGGGGAAUUUUGGACAAUGGGCGCAAGCCUGAUCCAGCAAUGCCGCGUGUGUGAAGAAGGCCUUCGGGUUGUAAAGCACUUUUGUCCGGAAAGAAAUGGCCUGGGUUAAUACCCCGGGUCGAUGACGGUACCGGAAGAAUAAGCACCGGCUAACUACGUGCCAGCAGCCGCGGUAAUACGUAGGGUGCGAGCGUUAAUCGGAAUUACUGGGCGUAAAGCGUGCGCGGGCGGUGAUGCAAGACAGAUGUGAAAUCCCCGGGCUCAACCGUGGAACUGCAUUUGUGACUGCAUGGCUGGAGUGCGUCAGAGGGGGGUGGAAUUCCGCGUGUAGCAGUGAAAUGCGUAGAGAUGCGGAGGAACACCGAUGGCGAAGGCAGCCCCCUGGGAUGACACUGACGCUCAUGCACGAAAGCGUGGGGAGCAAACAGGAUUAGAUACCCCGGUAGUCC
rnacentral:rRNA from 1 species